rnacentral:rRNA from 1 species
UACGUAGGGUGCAAGCGUUGUCCGGAAUUAUUGGGCGUAAAGAGCUCGUAGGCGGUUUGUCGCGUCUGCUGUGAAAACUCGGGGCUUAACUCCGGGCCUGCAGUGGGUACGGGCAGACUAGAGUGCGGUAGGGGAGACUGGGAUUCCUGGUGUAGCGGUGAAAUGCGCAGAUAUCAGGAGGAACACCAAUGGCGAAGGCGACACGCUGGGCCGUACCUGACACUGAACCGCGACAGCAUGGGGAGCAAACAGG